rnacentral:misc_RNA from 1 species
AAAAUAAUCCUACCCUUUGUGAAUUUUGUUUGUUUGAAUAAUUUUUUUUUUAAAAAAUUAUUGGAGUCUUUCCCUCUUAGUUUGCUUUUGAGUUUGUAAAAGAAUUCGAAAACAUCUAAAGGGGAUGGUCAAUAAUUUUUUUGAAAAAAGACAUUUUUUAAAAUUAAACUUUUUGUAUUCAUUUGUCUAAAAAUUAUUUUUAUAAUAUAAAAACAACUUUUGACAAUGGAUCUCUUGGUUCUCGCAACGAUGAGAACGCAGCAAAAUGCGAUAAGUAGUGUGAAUUGCAGAAUACGUGAAUCAUCGAAUCUUUGAACGCAUAUUGCACUUUUUUAGUUUACUAAAAAAGUAUGUCUGUUUGAGUAUCAGUAAAAUAUUCUCAUAAAAAUCAUUGUGUAUUUUUAUGGUUAUGAGUGUUUUACAACGAUACAAGUUGUUUCACUUUAAAUUUUUUUUAAUAUUGAAAUUUUUCUAAUUUUAAUAAUUAAAAUUGGAUAAAAUUUUCCCGUCAAAAGGAAUAACCUAAACAAUUUUAAAUGAUUAAUUUUAGCAAAAUUUUCGAAAAAGGAAAAUUUUUAUUAAAAUAACUUGAUCUCAAAUCAGAUAAGAGUACCCGCCGAACUUAAGCAUAUCAAUAAGCGGAGGAAAAGAAACUAACAAGGGUUCCCUUAGUAACGGCGAGUGAAGCGGGAAGAGCUCAAAUUUGAAAUCUUCAAGGUUUUACCUUGACGAAUUGUAGUUUAAAGAAGUGUUUUCUGCUGAAGUUUUGGUAAAAGUUCUUUGGAAUAGGACAUCAUAGAGGGUGAGAAUCCCGUAUUUGACCAUUAUUUUCAGCUUUGUGAUACACUUUCAAAGAGUCGGAUUGUUUGGGAAUGCAGUCAAAAUGGGUGGUAAAUUUCAUCUAAAGCUAAAUAUUGGCGAGAGACCGAUAGCGAACAAGUACCGUGAGGGAAAGAUGAAAAGAACUUUGAAAAGAGAGUUAAACAGUACGUGAAAUUGUCAAAAGGGAAGCGUUUGACACCAGUGUUGUUUUCUCGAAAAUCAAUUAAAAAUGGCUCGAUUUUGUAUUGCUGAGACCUUAAAAGCUCACUGUACAUUUUUCGUGUCUUUUUUAAUGCACUUUUCGUUUAACAAGUCAACAUCAGUUUCUUUUGUUGUAAAAGGGUCAUUGGAAGGUGGCUUUCUUUUCGGAGAAAGUGUUUAUAGCCUUUGGCCUCUGCAAUCGAAGAGACUGAGGUCUGCAGCGUAGACUCUUCGGGGUUAGAUACAUUUGUGCUAAGUUAUAGCUUUUUAUAGACAACUUGUUGACUAUAAUUAGUCUUGUAGCUUACUCGCUUAUGCUAUUU